rnacentral:rRNA from 1 species
UACGGAGGGUGCAAGCGUUAUCCGGAAUCAUUGGGUUUAAAGGGUCCGCAGGCGGUCAUAUAAGUCAGUGGUGAAAGCCUACAGCUCAACUGUAGAACUGCCAUUGAUACUGUAUGACUUGAAUUCGAUCGAAGUGGGCGGAAUAUGACAUGUAGCGGUGAAAUGCUUAGAUAUGUCAUAGAACACCGAUAGCGAAGGCAGCUCACUAGGUCUGGAUUGACGCUCAGGGACGAAAGCGUGGGGAGCGAACAGG